rnacentral:rRNA from 1 species
AUGUUAUCUCGACACUGUUGCCUCCGGGGCGACCCGGCCUUCGGGCGUCGGGGCCCCGGGUGGACCACUCAACUCUGCAUCUUUGCGUCUGAGUAAAUGGUGAAUCAAUCAAAACUUUCAACAACGGAUCUCUUGGUUCUGGCAUCGAUGAAGAACGCAGCGAAAUGCGAUAAGUAAUGUGAAUUGCAGAAUUCAGUGAAUCAUCGAAUCUUUGAACGCACAUUGCGCCCCUUGGUAUUCCGAGGGGCAUGCCUGUUCGAGCGUCAUUACACCACUCAAGCCUCGCUUGGUAUUGGGCGCCGCGGUCCGCCGCGCGCCUCAAUGUUUCCGGCUGAGCCGUCCGUCUCUAAGCGUUGUGGUAAACUAUCCGCUUGCGAGCUCGGGGGGCGUCCGGCCGUUAAACUCCACACUCAAAGGUUGACCCUCGGAUCAGGUAGG